CCUACGGGAGGCAGCAGUGGGGAAUAUUGGACAAUGGGCGCAAGCCUGAUCCAGCCAUGCCGCGUGAGUGAUGAAGGCCUUGGGGUUGUAAAGCUCUUUUAUCCGGGACGAUAAUGACGGUACCGGAGGAAUAAGCCCCGGCUAACUUCGUGCCAGCAGCCGCGGUAAU
rnacentral:rRNA from 1 species